AAAAUCAUCAUCAAAAUAUGGGAAGCUUAGGAAUGUAACAUUAGGCAAAAGUAAAUAAGAGUUUCAGCAUUUCUUUAACAGGUCACAAAUACGAAAGGCAUAAAUACAUUGUUCUCUUCUCCUAAGUUAUGUGUAAACCACAUGCACACAUUUCAGAAGUACAAACCCUGCGUUUUCCCAGUCUAAUCACAAAGAAAAGAAAUUAAAAAAAAUCAAUAGGUUUGCAAUGGUCCCUGAGUGUGACUUUUUAGAGUUGGGUGCCAAGUGCAGAACUCAUGACCCCAAAUUGCAUGUAUCAGUGAUGUUGCAGGGAUCAGCAGUGGGGUCUGACAGCAGGGUGCAGAACAGCCAGCACAAUGCACAUUCACUAACAGGAUGAAUCGGGUGGUCACUACUGAGGAGGGGAACACAUCUCCAACUUUGGCAUCUUCUAAAAGUACUCUUAUUCAUGAAACUCCUUUCCACACCCCGGACAUGCCCCCAGCACAUCAGGGAACAGGUAGCAGUGUGUCUUCAGGCAUUCGUGAUGUAUUUCUGCCCUUCAGGAGCUGCAGUCCCAGAGUUAGAUCAGAUCUCAACACCUGAUAAAAAGUAAAUGACUUCCUAAUGCUACAAAAAGCCUGUAAAAAAAAAGUGCACAUGCAGAUAGAUUCAAAUACUUGAAAGUCAAAUUCCAAUAGUGUAUUCUGUGUUCAUUCCUUUGUUACUAUUACUAUAGAAUCACUUUCUUCUUUUGGUCAGGAAUCAUGGAGUCUCCUGCUUAGCAUUAAGUUGUUGCAUGAUAUAGAAUCAGUUCCAAAUGGGUAGUUUUUUUACUGUGUAUGUCCUGGAUUUCGUUUUUCAGUUAUUUUUCAUAAGUACAUUUUACAUCUAACUACCUCAGCUGCCUUUUGUUUUGUUUUGGCGCAUAAAAAGUCAUGCACUUUCUAUAUUUGGGGAUUAGGGGGGAGGGGGAGUUCUUUCCAUUUUGAAUAACCAGGUUCAAAGCCAUGUUGAUCAAUUUAUAGAGGAGAACAGGAAGACAUAAUUAUUGACAGUUGUAGAACAUACAUUUUAUUUUUAGGUUCCGUUGGGGUAUAGUUUAAAAAAAAACACCAUAAGCUGCUUAUUAAUUUGCCUUAAAAAAUGUGUGCUCUUUCCUAUUCAAGUUGUGUUAUUCAACUCUUAUCUUGUACACAAUUUAUGUGAAAACAACAAACGUAACAGUUGGCAGAAAAACAGCAAAUUGAACAGAAUGGACCAAUAGUUUCUCAGUUCUCCGUUGUAAACUGUUGCAUUAUACACUGAUUGUGCUAAAAUAAUUGUUACUGUGCUUAUACUCCUUUGUCACCGUUGCGGAAAUAAAGUUAUGGAAGAUCACAUUUGUGUUUAUGGAGCAGUGUAGAUAUCCCCCCAGUACAAGCACAGUGACUUGAGGUGAAUGAUAAUCAUUGCAGAACUUGUGCUUUGACUUGUAAACAUUGUAAAAAUGUAUUUGGUAUUUUAUUUGAAAUGAAGAAUCAAAAUAGUUAUUAAAAAAAGAAUCUUCCUGUAAAUAUAUAUAUUCCGAUUCCAUGUAUACAAACAUUCCUUUAGAGUUCAGAUUGUGAAGAGUGUCUUUAUCGGCUAGAGACUGCUGUCUCCCUGGCAGAGGUUACAUGUGCUAUAGUAAAGAACACAGUGUGUGAAGUAUUUGAUGUACUGCAGUACCAUAGUUCUUUUGGUCUGUUAAGUAAGUUGCAAUUUGUGAUGAAAUGAAGUUGAAAGUAGUGCUUCAUACUAACAAAUUUCCUUGGUUACAACUUGAUUUUUCUUGUAAAACUUAAAAGGAAAACUUGAAAAUUUUAUAUAUUUGGAUUUUGUAGAUUUUUUUUAUUUUAUUGCAACACAAGGUACCAAAAUCAUUAAAUAAAGUACACUGUGGUCAUUU
rnacentral:lncRNA from 7 species